UACAGAGGUCUCAAGCGUUUGUUCGGAUUCAUUGGGCGUAAAGGGCGCGUAGGCGGCGGGGUAAGUCGGGUGUGAAAUCUCAGAGCUCAACUCUGAAACUGCACUCGAUACUGCUCUGCUUGAGGACUGGAGAGGAGACUGGAAUUCACGGUGUAGCAGUGAAAAUGCGUAGAUAUCGUGAGGAAGACCAGUGGCGAAGGCGGGUCUCUGGACAGUUCCUGACGCUGAGGCGCGGAAGGC
rnacentral:rRNA from 1 species